rfam:Hordeum vulgare subsp. vulgare, WGS project CAJW01000000 data, contig: morex_contig_1597084
CAUAUACUCCCUCCGUUCGGAAAUACUUGUCAUGAAAAUGGAUGUAUCUACAUGUAUUUUUGUUCUACAUACAUUCACUUUUAUCCAUUUUACGACAAGUAAUCCUGGACGGAGGGAGUAAUUU